rnacentral:rRNA from 1 species
AGAGUUUGAUCCUGGCUCAGAUUGAACGCUGGCGGUAUGCUUAACACAUGCAAGUCGAACGGCAGCACAGGGUAGCUUGCUAUCCGGGUGGCGAGUGGCGGACGGGUGAGUAACGCGUAGGAAUCUACCUUAUCGUGGGGGAUAACCCGGGGAAACCCGGGCUAAUACCGCAUACGCCCUACGGGGGAAAGCGGGGGACCUUCGGGCCUCGCGCGGAAAGAUGAGCCUGCGUCCUAUCUGGUAGUUGGUGAGGUAAUGGCUCACCAAGCCGACGACGGGUAGCUGGUCUGAGAGGACGACCAGCCACACUGGGACUGAGACACGGCCCAGACUCCUACGGGAGGCAGCAGUGGGGAAUAUUGGACAAUGGGGGAAACCCUGAUCCAGCAAUACCGCGUGUGUGAAGAAGGCCUUCGGGUUGUAAAGCACUUUUAGCAGGAAAGAAAGCCUGUACGCUAAUAUCGUAUGGUUUUGACGUUACCUGCAGA